GGCCGUGGCCUCGAUAAAAUCGGCAGUAUUUUUACCGAUCGAGGCCCUUUGCCUUCAAAGGCGGAGGCCGUCGCAGAUAUUCCUCUCCUUCGAUCUCCAUCAAAAUUUGCGCACGAGGAGCAGAGAGAAGAGUAUAGGAGUCAUACCUGCGAUGCAUCGGCCUCGGACUCCACCGUCGGGGUGAUCUCGGGCUCUGUCACCGGGGUGAAACCUGUUUGUCGGUCGGGGGC
rnacentral:lncRNA from 1 species